CAGACCCAUCAUGUAAGCAGGAUUUGUUGGCCUACCUGGAACAGAUCAAGUUCUACUCUCACCAACUGAAAAUCUGCAGCCAAGUCAAGGCCGAGAUCCAGAAUCUCGGGGGCGAGCUCAUCAUGUCAGCUUUGGACAGUGUCACCUCUCUGAUUCAAGCAGCCAAAAAUUUAAUGAAUGCUGUAGUGCAAACAGUGAAAAUGUCUUAUAUUGCUUCAACGAAGAUCAUUCGGAUCCAGAGUCCUGCUGGGCCCCGGCACCCAGUUGUGACGUGGCGAAUGAAGGCGCCUGCGAAAAAGCCCUUGAUUAAAAGAGAAAAGCCAGAGGAAACGUGUGCAGCUGUCAGGCGCGGUUCAGCAAAGAAAAAAAUCCAUCCGGUGCAAGUCAUGAGUGAAUUUAGAGGAAGACAAUUCUACUGAGACCACUAUUCUUCUCUAGCACCCAUAUUACAAAGUAUUGGCUAACUGCACUGUUUGGUUUUGACACUUGAUUAAUUCCUUAAGCUCAGUACAUUUUGGCAUUUAACACACAAAUGAUAUACUCUUUUGGAAGCUGUCCCAAUGAAAACAACUUGGAUAUGGGACCAUGUCAUUUCAUCUCUAUAUAGCAAGUAAUUAAUAGGAAAUCAAUAGAUCUGGUUGAAUGCAUGGACAUUUCUGUUGUCAUUCAACCUUUCCCGUCACAGGGAAUAUCCUAUAUUCAUUACCAAAUGAACACACUGGAAGUUGUAUUCAGCUCUCCUUCAAUAGCUCAAACAUACCUACCCUUUAUUUUGAAUUAAAACAAACACAUCAAUUCUUGACUUGGUUUUCAAGGGAAGCAAAAUAUUUUGUAAAAUAUCAGCCAUUUAAUAUCCAUGCUGUGCUUACAUGACCUAAUCAGGCAGCAAUUUAUAGUACCCACUACCAAAAAAAAAAAAAAAAAAAGAAAUUCAGUAUUUAUCUGUAUGCAUUGUCAACGGAUUAAGCUAGCAUCCUUCAGAAAUAGCUAACCAAGUGUGAGUAGUUGAGCUAUUUCCUGGAUUUCAAAAGUCAGCCAUGACCGUUAAGUAAUUGCUUGAUUAACAUUAUAAAAUUACAAUGGUUCUGGACGCCACAAAUAUGCCUUUUAGUGUUCCACAGUGUUCAGCAAUUCUGCCUUUUGAGGGUUGGGUUCAGAGAGUCUCAUGAACAAACAAAUAUGGAGGAAGAGUUAUUAUGCAAUUGGGAAAUGGAGAUAACUAUGAGAAUGAAUUAUGAUUAGAGUAUAAGGUGUUCUGCAUGACUAAAAAUCAAUUUGUAUUAGCUUGCAAUUGUAAUUAAAAGGAAAAGUCCAGAUUGAAAACUUUUUGGCAUUGAGUAAAAUAUAACUGUGCUUGAACUAUGAGGUAGAGUUAAUGGCAAUGUAACUGGUAUGAUUUUAAUAACAUUCUUUUAAAUAAAAUCCAUUGGGGUCAUUUUGCCACAUCAGUUGCUGUGCUCAUCAGCUGAAUUUAUAAUUGCCUUCACAAUAGUAUGGUUCUAGUGUAUGAUCCACUGAUUCUCUUUCUUUCUUUAGCAGGAUAUUCUUUCUGUAUGGGGUUUCCAUAAGUUCUUUGGAGGAGUUAAGCUUCAGUUUCACUUAUUCUCAAACACAGGGCUCCAUUCACAUUUUAAAUAUGCAUUCCCUAUUCUACUUCAUUAUGUUGACAGCACUAUAAUUAUAAUUUCUCAUUUGUACCCAAAAUUACUUCUGAUGAGUUGCUUCAACAUCAUAUCAUUAUAGGUUGAUGAGGCAGCAUUCAUACACGCAACACCAGUUGAUGUAAGGAGUACGAGUUUCAGCAAAUUGAUGAGUGAAACCUAAAAAUCCAUAAAUGUUAAUAAAAUACUGUAUAUGAGAUAUUGAACAAAAAGGCAGCAAUACAAUAUAAUUGAAAAAAAGGACAUAUUUAAUGGGCUAUUACUAAUUAGGGAAAAUGUUUAUUUUAUUGUAAUAAAUUGUUAUUUUUCCAAAUGCUAGGUGCAUAAAAUUACUUUAGGGUAAAGGCAAUGUGCUCCUCUCUAUGGUUCACUAUGGACUAGUCCAUAAUAACGAUUCUGAAGAGAUUCCACUCCCCCAAAAGAGAAUGGAAGCAUGGGAGAGAAUUAGAAUACAUAGAAAAUUCAAUUUUCUGGAAUGAUCUCGACCAGUAGGGUCAGAAUGAAGUUUGUUACCUUAUUUUCUUCUAAGCUUACACAUCACAAGAAUGCCCUAUGUGGCAUGAUUUUUUUUUCUGUUAGAAAAGUGACAUUAUUUCAUUCAGAAAAUAAGAAAGCAAGAGCAAAACAGAACACCACUAGAGAUAUCUUAGCUUCUAAAACUUCAUGCUCAAGAAACAUGUCUUAUUUAGAAAUUUUCCUGUCAAUUUGACCCUCUGUUACACACUGAAACUUUGAAUGUAGCCUUGGAUGCCAAUAGAGCAGAAAUAACUUGAAAAUAUACAAUUAUUAAUAUAGAUCUCUUUACCAAAUGAAAAGAACCCUGGUGGCAUAGGUGUUCGUCAUUGGGCUGCUAACAGCAAGGUCAGCGGUUCUAAAACAUAGCCCCUCCAUGGGAGAGAGAUGAGGUUUUCUACUCCCAUAGAGCAUCAUCGUCUAGAAAUACAAGGAUCGUUCCGCCUGUCUUAUGGGCUCACCUGAGUUAGAAUGGACUUGAUUGCAGCACGUUUGGUUUGGGUAUUUUAUAUAUGUGAACAGGACUCUUCCCCACUGUCAAUAGAUGUAAAGCUAAUUUCAAAGCAAGCAACUACAUUUGAAAACCAAAUUCAAUUUUUAUCAACUAACUGCCCCAAGAGGAAGAUGUGCUUGAGUACUUACAGGUUCAAUAAAUGCAAUAUCCGUAGAACUGAAAAGACAUUGGCUUACCUGAGUGAAUUCCUGCAGUUGGCAGCACAGCAUUAUUUAACAUUCAACUAGAUUAAAAUUUCUGAUACAUAUAAAUGUUUAUAUUUAAGAAAAAAUGAAUAAAUAUUUGUAUUGUAACUCAUAGGUAAAUUAAUAUGCUAAAUAAGCAUGGCUUUUAUAGACACAUUUAUUUUAAAAUCCUACUUCUUCAGAGGAAUAUUAGACUUUCUUAUUGAAAAUUAGUGUUUUGGUGUUUCAUUUAUGUGCUUUUGAAGUAACAUAACAGAACUUGAUAUUUGCUUAAUCCUACUAAUCGAAACCCCGGUUUCUGUUAUAGUGAAAUCCUUUUCUGUUAAUAUGUCUAAGCAAAAAGUCCUCAGAAAGAGAAGAGGUUUUAGAUAACUUAAAGGACAACUUCUUUCUUGACUGUCAAAUAGACUGAAAUUAUAGUUAACUCAGGAAAUAUCCAUAGAACCAUAGCCCAUUAAAGGUUCUUCUCCUUAGAAAAACUAGAAGAUUUUCAUAAACAUGCAAGGUUAGGAGCAGAAAUAUUUUCUUUUAUUUAUCAAAUGAAAAUUAUUUGAUAGAGAUAUGUUUCUUUCUAAUGUGACUUUUGGAUAUAGCUUUGUCAAUAUACCUGGAGAAAAAUAACAGAUUAAAUUUUUAGGCUAAAUUAUACUCUCCUGUUGUGCUUUUUUAAAGACAUGCUUGCAAAUUAGGAAUGUAUUAGAUAGCACAACAUACUGCCCUGUUUGUAAGUGUCCCUUCUUGUCUUUGUAAACUCCUUCAAUUUGGCAGUAUCACUAUAGCACAUACACUCCCCAUAAGAGUGAGUAAGUACCUUCAGAGAUACAUGGAGGGACUUAUUCUCUUUUUCUUUUUUUUCUUUUUUGAAUUGUGAAUUGGGUGUCUGCUUACAGAGAAAAUCAAUUUUACAUUCAACAGAUUCAUACACAUUUUGUUAGAUGCCAUUGAUUGCAAUAUCCACAAUGUUAGUGUCACUUAUCUUAUUAUAUAUCCUUGUUUCCUGGUUGUAUUUUUCCUUUUAUCUUAACCUUUUUGCCCUCUGGACUUUGACCUUGGUCAAAUGCUACUCUGCUAAACUUGAAUUAUUUAUUAUUCUAAAUUGUGCAUCUCUCUCUAGUAUUACUGUUCAGUUCACAGACUUGCCUAAUAUUUGACUGGAAAUUGAGCUCGGGUGUUGUUUUAUGAUGGCUAAGUGCCAUGGUCUCAGGUGGUUUUACCAUCUUCUAUUCAACCAGUAAGUCUGUUCGUUUUUAUGAUUUUAAGCGUUGGUUGACAUUUUUCUCUCAUUCUUCUAAAGUGAUGCCUUUCAAAACAAUUGGUCAUGGUCACCAAGGCCCAUUGAAUGCUUCUUGUCUUCAGGUCAUGGAACCGGAUUUAUAUGGAUGAUUAUGCCGUUGGACUCAUUGUUUCUAAGUGGAUUCGGUAUUCCUCAUUCUUCUUGUCACAUUUGCGGCAUACUUAUCAGCCUUUAAGUGAGUCUGUUUUCAAGUUGCAUUACAGAAAUAUGUUUAAAACUAUGAGGACCUAAUUAAGUGUACGAUUUGAGGCUUCAAUUAAAUAACAUAUCCUCAAACUCAGUCAUGAAUGGCUGAAAAGAUUUGUGUCUGCAAUGGUUUCCUGUAGCUUCAGGAUGGUCCUAUACCUUCCCAUCAUUUCAGGAUCGUCUUCGCUUCAGUCCCAUUCCUAGGUUUGGUAGUUUCCUAUCAACCGCUCCUCGUGUUCUACUAGAAUGAGGCAGUAGGGUUGGCAUAUCCAUACCUCGGUUAACUAUCGCAAAUAAUUUCUUUGCAUCCGAAACAUACCUUACCCAUCUCCUAUUCCUUAGUGUGUCAAUUCAGUAUGUAUAAAUUGACUCCAAUUCUAUAGGACUUUAGUUAAGAUUCCUAGUAAUGCUCCAGCAGCAGUAUCCCUUGGUACUUUCUAUUCCCCCACAUCACUGGUAUCCUUUUUGGUGUCAAAUGCACAUUUCCAUGCUACAGGUUAUGGUUUCCAUGAUGACAGAGUUCUGUGUAGAUGUAGAAUAAGCAGAAUUGUCUACCAUUGUCUUGUGAAUACACUGCUGAAUUGCCUGCCUGUUGCAGCAUCAUUGUAAGUAAUUCUCUAGGUCAGCACAGUAGUCACCAGAUUCUGAAGUGGAAUGAAAUAUGUUUUUUCUUUAUCAAUCUGUCAUUUGCCAAGAUGGCCUGUCUCCUGCAUAUUUAAGAAUUGAUUGCUCUACUUCUGUUUGGGAAGUCAGAGAUAUUUUAUUUGAUCAGAAAAUUUAGGGCAUUCAGUUAAAAAAUUAUAACUUGAAUACUACUUUAAUAGUACCUUAGAGUAAAAUAUAAACAUGAUGAUAGUCUGAGCUAUUAUUAUAUUCAUUUAUAUAUCAGAUUGUGGGGAUGGUGCAGGAUUCAGCAAUAUUUCUGGGGCAUAUCAGAUUGCUAUACAUCAGAACCAAUUCAAAAGCACCCCAAACAGCAAGGUGUUCAGAUGAAAGCUCCACAGCAUUGCUAGCUCUAGGACCACCUCUCUAACCCACUAUUAUAUUUUUAGUGUUAAUAUUACUGUCGACAUAUAAAGUAGUUUGAAUUUUCAUUUAGGCCCUUUGGGUCUAAUUAUGAAAAAGAAUACAGAUGUUCUUAAAACCAAGAGUCUGCAGCAAAAAAUAUCCUAAUUAAAACUGUUAAAAUUAUUCUAGACACCUAAACGCAAAGAAAAGCAUAAGGGUUAUUAUUUUAAAUCUAAUGGUUUGCUAUUUUCAAUCAAUGUAUAUGAACAGGGCAUACAUGUUUCUGUUAAAGCAAAAGAAUCAUUUAAGAUCUUUGUGAUUUUUACUAAUUACAUCACUUCUUCGCUUCCCCAAAGUGAUAGAUAAGAUUCAUUCCUGAACAGUAACAGUUCAAAAGCAAAAUAAUACGAUUUGAGAGAACUAUCUCCUAAGGAAAGAGUUUUAGCAGAAUCUCAUCUGUGGAGGGGGGACAAUCCCUUGCUCACACUCUGCCAAAGAUGUUUCAUUACUGCAUCACCAUAUCCAACAGUCCUCAUUGGUUUAUCGGAACAGAGCUCUGAUUUUCAUUUUCAAAUUGAGCAAAUUGAAGAAACAAAAACAAAAAAGAAGUAAACCAACUCCAAGGGCGAAUGGGAAAGAAUGCACAAGAGGACGGAAAUGAGAUAUGAGGGGCGAGCGGUUGCAGAAGUAGAUACUCUUUAUAGCAAGCAGAGGGAUGAGUUUUGGUUCUAGAAGGAACCUCCUCAGGAAGCUUGCGGUUCUGGGAGGAACGUGCUCCAGGGGGAGCAGGAACAAAGGACCUGUAUAUGAUGGUUUGAGGGAAGUCAUGUUGGGGGAAUGAUGAUAAACUAUAUAAUCUUUUAAAAUGAUUUAGUGGUUUAUCUAAAGAGAAAUACCAUCCCUUUUCAGACUGAUAUGAUUUAGUGGCCAUGGGUGAAAAUAUUUGUACUCGAACAUAUAAUUAUGCAUCCAUAACUAAUGACUAUUUAUUGAGUAUCUAUAGUGUUCUAGGCACUGCUCUUAGGCUACACUAUGUAACAAUAUAAACAAUUGUUCAUGCUUAUGGGAAGCUCUUUGUUCCAACUCUGUGUCAAAUGCUAUUAAUUCACUUAAUUCUCAUAGUAACUGGUUGGGUUUGAUAUCACCAUUUCAUAGUUUCUGAAAACUUAGGUACAUAAUGAAUAAGUAUUUUGCUCCAAAUCUCAUUGGAGCAUUAAAUGAGAUUUGUUACACUCCAGAGUUUGAACGGUAAACUAACAAAUAUUCAGAUGUCCUGGAAAAUGGGAUUCAAUGUGUUCAUUGAAAAUGAAAUACACAUUUCAAAUGUUAGCCAAAUUUUGAUUAUGAACGUCACAUUAUAGGAAAAAAAAACCCUUUAAAAUUAUUAUCCAUUCAUUCAGUGUAAAUAAAAUGCAGACACAUAAGCAAUUAGUUGCACUUUCUCACUUUCAAUAAUUAAACAUAGGAUAUCAAAUAUAUAGGAAUAAAUAUGUAGCCACCAGAACUAAAAUAAGUUCAACAACCCUUGACAAAUCAUUUUCAUUAUCACAGAGGAGAAAUAUUUGCUGGAGAUAUCGGACUAAUCCCAUUUUUAGCAUUAAUAAGUGAAAACUAUUUGCUGGAAUAAUUUCUUUCCUCCUUUACUCCUACGCAUUUUCUGUGUUUAUAAUCAUGUUGCUCAGGGAAGCAUGAGCUAAUAGUUAUUCAAAUAAGCAACAUUUUUGUCUGUACUCCAAAACAACUUCAGCUAUAGGAAAUGUAGGUUUUCUUCAAGUAAUCACAGAUCUGAACGUUAUUUCCUGACUGACUACAGGUAAUUGUCUUCCUCUUUGUCUUUUUACAUCCCAACCCUCCCUUUUUAUCCCAACUUCACUUGAUUCCUCUUGCCUGAACCAACUGAAGGCGUCUUAUGCCAUAUUGCUGGAGUGCUGGACAUGUCUCUCUAGCUCAGUCCAUCGGGGAGUUAAACUAUUGACUGGCCUUUCUUCUGAUGGAGUCACAGAUAUUUCUUCUAACUGGAAAUGUGUUUAUUUGGGGUUUUUCACUCUUAGUCAUCCUGGUAUCUCUUCCAAACUGUCAGUAAAAGAAGCCUUGGAGAAGAUACUUGUCCUUGACAAGGACUUAGACUCCCAGCAAUCACAUGGGAAAAUCCUAUCAGGCUAGCAUAUGUACAAAAGCCACUUAAAUAGUAUUGCACAACAGUCUCCUGUGUUUUCCUUUCUCAUAAGGUAUGGUCUAAUUUUAAAGAUCAGUUUUCCAAUUGGCAUUUUCAAGAAGAAUUCUAAUGUGUACCUCUGGUUAGUUGGCCUUACAGGCCUUCAUGAUGUCUUUAGACACUUUUCAAAGGCUCCUCUCAACCGAAACACGCGUGAUGCAAAAGCCUGUACGUAAUUUGUUUUUCUAUUUGAACAGCUAGAUAUAGAGCUGCCAUCCAGUCCGCUCUGACUCAUGGUGAUCCAACCUACAAUAGACCUAAAUGGGUUUUUUGAUUUAUGUCAUCUAUCAAUUGCCAGAAUAUUUUGUCCAUCUUUGAAGUCACUGUGCUUAUGCAUCUGCCGGAGGGUAUCCAUAAUUUUUAUAUGCCCUUCGUGCCUCCAAACACAAUGUCCUUCUCUAGUGGUUGACCUUCGAAUGACCUGUCCAAAGCACGCAACCUGGCAGUGUCUGUUUGAUCUGGUUUUCAUGGGCUCCUUUUGAGAAGUAGGUCUCCACGCCUUUCUUCCUUUGUUCUUAGCCUGCCUCUCAGGGACACUGAAAAAGCUUCUAGGAUCAUAUCAACAAUUAAACAAACUGACAGAGGAGUAGUGGUUUAUUCAAAUAAUUUUGUGUAAUCUAAUCCCAUGCCAACUGUGGGCAUCUUAAUCAGAUUUUCGUGCCUGUGAAGCAUUUAAACAGUUCCGUGGUAUCCAUUCAGAGUCUUUCUCAAACUGAUAAGUUCCCUUAACGUGGGUUCAUCUCACCGGGUUUAGAUGGGAGUGUUUAUUGAGGAAGAAAAGGGCAAGUUGGAGAUAUGAGUUCAUAUUCUGGGUUAAAAGGAAAAUUCCUCCUUAUUGAGACUUUAAACAAAAUUAAUUUUAAAAAUAUUUUAGAUAGUAUCUUGCUUGCAAAACAUAUUCUAUGUUAUAUGAACAUAUUAUACAGCUCUCUUAUGUGUUGCUGUAUAAUGUGUCCAUGUAUAUAGAAUAUGAGAUAUUUAGUCACCAUACUGUAGACUUAGCUGUGAUCAGGUCUUUUUUUUCCCCUUUACAGUCUAUUCAAUGAAAAUUUCUUUGGUUCUAAUGACAGCAUAAUGGUUUUUCCUCCAUAUCCAUGACUAACACGUCCCCGAAAACAAAACUAGACAUAUAUUAUGCCCAAUUGAGUACCUAAUAGUUGAGGCUUAAAACAAAAUCUACUUGGGCAAGUUGGGUGAUUAGAUAUGAAUUAAAACUUCAAAUGAAAAAUUUCCAGCUGCCCCCGCUUUCCAUUGUGACUGUUUUUAGCACCUUGGUGACUUUGCAAAAAUGAAUCACUUCCUUUAUGUACUUUUACAAGCAACAACUUUGACAAGCUUAAACUUGGUGACAUCUCUGAAGAUAAUAUGCCCAUUAUAACUCAUUAUGAAGGCAGAUUUAAAGGAAGACAGUGUGGGAUAGGUAAAAAUAAACAAUAAUAGCCAUGUUUAUAGCAGCAAUAUCUUGAGUACUUACAUUUCGUGGCAUUUGAAGUGUUUUAGAUCUUCUUGCUUCAGCAUCUCACCCUGCAAAAGGCAGAAUGGGGCUGAGUAGUCUGCUUGUUACAGUAAUGGCCAAUUCAGUGUGGUUUAUAGUUAGGCUAUAGAUAAAUUCCAGCUAAAAUACCUGUGUACCUUUCUGGUCUAUCAUUAUCCUCAAAGUUAAUUUCAUCAAUCAAUAAAAAUGAUUUAAUUGUCUGAAAAUAGGACAGAUUUUUUAAUACCUGUAAGACAUUGGUAUAGAAAUAAAAAUACCUUUUGUUUAUAAUCAUGCAUGCCUUUUGUGCUUAAGUGAAUCAAUGAUAACCUCUUUUUCUUUCUUUCAUUUUGCUUUCAAUUGAAUUAUUUCACCCAUGUAACCCACUGUUUGUUUGGAUGUUAUCUAGUGUUAUCUGAAGCAAUGUAUCAGUUUCAUUUUAACUCAAAUCACUCUAUUUCACUGAGAAUUUUCCCAGCUGAUGUUACACCAUAUAUGCAAAAGCAAUAAAAAAUGAAAUGAUUGUU